rnacentral:rRNA from 1 species
UACAGAGGUGGCAAGCGUUGCUCGGAUUCAUUGGGCGUAAAGGGUCCGUAGGCGGCCUAGAAAGUCGGAUGUGAAAUCCCACGGCUUAACCGUGGAACUGCAUUCGAAACUCCUAGGCUAGAGUGUGAGAGGGGUGAAGGGAAUUCCCGGUGUAAGGGUGAAAUCUGCAGAGAUCGGAAAGAACACCAGUCGCGAAGGCGCUUCACUGGCUCGCAACCGACGCUGAGGGACGAAAGCUAGGGGAGCAAACGGG